rnacentral:rRNA from 1 species
GAUCCUGGCUCAGGAUGAACGCUAGCGACAGGCUUAACACAUGCAAGUCGAGGGGCAGCAUAAAAGCAGCAAUACUUGGUGGCGACCGGCGCACGGGUGAGUAACGCGUAUGCAACCUACCUAUCAGAGGGGAAUAACCCGGCGAAAGUCGGACUAAUACCGCAUAAAACAGGGGCACCGCAUGGUGAUAUUUGUUAAAGAAAUUCGCUGAUAGAUGGGCAUGCGUUCCAUUAGGUAGUUGGUGAGGUAACGGCUCACCAAGCCGACGAUGGAUAGGGGAACUGAGAGGUUGGUCCCCCACACUGGUACUGAGACACGGACCAGACUCCUACGGGAGGCAGCAGUGAGGAAUAUUGGUCAAUGGGCGGGAGCCUGAACCAGCCAAGUCGCGUGAAGGAAGAAGGAUCUAUGGUUCGUAAACUUCUUUUGCAGGGGAAUAAAGUGCAGGACGUGUCCUGUUUUGUAUGUACCCUGAGAAUAAGGAUCGGCUAACUCCGUGCCAGCCGCCGC